rnacentral:lncRNA from 1 species
UGAUUAUUCUAUUGGCUUGUUGUAGCAGAUAAUUCGUAAGAAAAGAACGACAGAAAAUGCCCAAAAAAUCAGAGAAAAUACUCUGAAUUCAACUCAAUAUUAUUAAUAAUGCAGAAUGAUAAAAACUAACCCACAAGCCGGGUUAAAUAGCUGCAAAAUACGAAAUUAUGGGAAAAUUACCAAAAAUGGCAAAAUUCCAAAAUUAUACCAAAAUAAAAUAUUAAGUAAAAAAAGUAAGUUGCCAAAAAUUUGGCUCAAUUCGAGUUUUCUAACAUAUGAAAA